CGCCUCCUGACCCCCAUUACAUAGGAGGUCCCGCCUGCCCCGUGACCAAAAGUUUAACGGCCGCGGUAUUUUAACCGUGCAAAGGUAGCGCAAUCAAUUGUCUUUUAAAUGAAGACCUGUAUGAAUGGCAUAACGAGGGUUUAACUGUCUCUUUUUCCUAGUCAAUGAAACUGAUCUGCCCGUGCAGAAGCGGGCAUGCAUCUACAAGACGAGAAGACCCUAUGGAGCUUUAGACGCACACCAACCAUGAAAAGCAGCCCUCCACCAGGCCUCAAACAACAUGACAGUGGCACAAACGUCUUCGGUUGGGGCGACCACGGGAGAAAGAAGAGCUCCCGAGUGGAUUAGGGCCACCCUAAAACCCAGAGUCACACCUCUAAGUCACAAAAUAUUUGACCAAGAAUGAUCCGGCCACAAGCCGAUCAACGAACCAAGUUACCCUAGGGAUAACAGCGCAAUCCCCUCCCAGAGUCCAUAUCGACGAGGGGGUUUACGACCUCGAUGUUGGAUCAGGACAUCCUAAUGGUGCAGCCGCUAUUAAGGGUUCGUUUGUUCAACGAUUAAAGUCCU
rnacentral:rRNA from 1 species